rnacentral:hammerhead_ribozyme from 1 species
AUCCAGCUGAAAAGUUCCAAAUAAAGCGAAACGCGAGUUCUGGAU